GAGAGCCAAAUGAUCGAAAGAUUCAUGUUUGGUUCGGGAAGGGAUCAUGGAUUUUUGAUGAAUGGAAGAUAAUCUACUUUCAU
rfam:Helianthus annuus linkage group 7, whole genome shotgun sequence.